GCCAGUGUGGCACAGUGGUUUGAGUGUUGGACUAUGACUCUGGAAACCAAGGUUUGAUUCCCAGCUUGGCCA